AGAGCUGGGGCCCGCGGAGAUCCUGGCCGGGAAGGGGGCCGGGGUCGCGGUCUCGGUCCGGGCAGGGGCAGCCCGUCGCCCCGGGGCCUAAGAGCCGGGCGGGACCCGCGCCCUGGCACGUGCUUUAGGGGCGCCUCCGGGACGCUGUUCGCGGGUUUAACCCGGGGCGGUGGGGAUGGCUAGGGAAGGGGCGAGCCUUGCGAUGGGGAUGCUGCUGCGUUUGAGCGGCGGCCGAAAGCCGCCUCUCCUUCGCCUGCCUUCAGUCUGCUCUCGCCCUCCCCGGGGCCACGCGGAGAAAGUCAUUGUCACGGCCGGGGGCGCCGCUGGCGUUCAGCGCUUCCCGAGACAGGCCCUUUUCCUCCGGGGUCCAGGACCUUUUGAGGAUCCUUCUCCGUGUCUGACCGCUGUCCCCAGCCCCAGCAGCAACAAAAGUGAUACUAAUGCUUGAUGCCGUCACAGUUCUGCAAAGGACGGAUGGAGGGUUAUGGAAGCCCCGAAAGGACCAACGAAGUCAGAAGCCUAGAAGGCCUGGCUUCUUAGUUAAUUAAAAGUAUAACAUUUUGACAGUCGGUAUUAGUUACAGAAAGGCCAUAGAGAAAAACAGAAGAUGGUCCACAGUGUUGUUUAAUCCAUCCCUUCCUCCGCCCUUCCCCAUCCAUGUAGCCCCAUUAAGUAACGUCAGGUCACCUCUCCUCCUCCCCGCUUUUAUAAAUCUUAUCAAACAAAGCAGACAUCUGCUAAGGAGCAGUAGCAAAGAAGUAAGACCGUGGGCUGGAAAUCCGUGUGGGUCAUACUGCUGUUACAUCAGACGGAAUUGGGCCCCGUUUAAACUUAGCUUAAUUUUAUGGAGCCCCUGAGGCGUGCAAAGGAAGUGGUGCACGGCCAGUGUGGCCGUGGCUAAGUCGGCACAAGGCUGCUCUCCAGCUCUUGCUUCGGAGGGAAGAAGCAUUGUCCGUCUUCUGUGAUGUCCAAGAGUUCUGGCUGUGUUGCAAGAAUUUCAUAUCCUUCACCGUCCAACUUGGCCCCCUUUAAUAAGGGACAGCAAAAAGGUCCCUCUUAAACUUGAUUAGAUGAUCCUGAAGUUGAAUGUGCCAUUCAGUUGAGGAGAAUUGGAGACAAACUGAAUUUCCGGCAGAAACUUGUGAAUCUGAUAUCCAAACUCCUCCGCUCAGGAACUUGACUUAAGGCGCUUUCGAAUGAGGAGACUCCUUUCAAAGGAAGAUUCCCCAGUAGAUACAAAUUUUAUCAAUUGGAGGAGAGACUGCCUGGGAAUGGAGGAGAGUGUGAAGGGACUCUCAGCUGGUUUUGAAUGCUCUUGGAAAUGAAGAUGGAUACAUCGCACAUGAAUUUCUGUCGGAGGUUUGCCAGAAGUUGUUGUUGGGGAUUCGAGAACAUUAAAAAUCCACUUUUUAUUUUAAAACAAGAAUGGAGGAACUUUGGACAUAUGGAAUCAAUUCUUUAUACAUUUUGGUUUUGUUUAGAGACUUGUUCUAGUAUUUUUGCUGAAGGUUGCUGCCCAGUGUAAGAGGAGCUGACAAAUGAUUCUAGACUAUGGUCAGGGGCUGGGAAACAAUGUAUACUCCAUGUUUGUUUCUCCUUUUGGGUGACAAUGGCAGAACGAUGUGUAACCUUUGGUUUAUGUAUAUUACUUUGUUAAGAGUAAAACUUUUUUUUGAGAACACUGAAUGUGAUAGUGAAUGUUAAUUUCAUAGGUCACUACAAAAUAUAAACUAAUCUGAAAGUUUCUUUUGAGUUAAGAUGUAUUGCUGUUUCUGUUCAGAAGAUCUUUUACUAAGUGUGUUCCAAUGAGCCUUACCCUGGGAAGUGAUAUACUUUGAAAAAAUUUGAAGUGUUACUUGGUGCCAGUGAAAUUCUUGCAGAAAAGAAAAAGAAUCAUGGGGACUUUGCAUAACUCUGAAUAAUUUAAAAAGUGAUAGAUUUUUUUAACUGCUGUAAUUAAAACUUGGUAAGAUGAAUAUUCUAAUAUAACUGUUGAUAAAAAAAUGAAUAUUUUUAAAGAAGUUUCUAAAAUCUGUAAAAUGUCCUUUCUUAUACUCAGUGUAUAUUGUAUAAGAGUGAUCUUUUAAGAGAGAUUAAGCAUGUUUUCAUAAUUGAGAUACAUACAUGUAUUUUUCAAAAGGAACAGAUUGCUCAUCCAGAAUGAAAAUCCCAUUUACAUACAUAUGCAUAACUUCAUCUGCUAUAUCUAUAUAUUAUCUAUAUAUAUAUAGUGUUAGAGUAAUAGGUAUAUUCUGAGACGGGCUUCAUGAAUUGCUGUUUUCAAUUAUUAAAAGGCCAGGCUAUCAACAAAACUCCACAAAUAUAUAAAAAAAGAAAUAAUACUGUCAAGAUUGAAUUUCAGCAGGAAUAAUCUUAUUUAUUUUACUUAUUUAUCAUUAAACUAUUUUUUCUUUCAUUUGAUAAUAAAGUUGCAUUUUGGAAUUUUGAGGCAAGGGUUUCAUAACUACUUGAACUCUUACUGGAAGAAUGUUUUAAUAUAGGCUGUAGUCACUUUAGAUGAAAAAUUACCUCAGCAUGUUUUUUUCUUCAGUAUUACUUAAAGCUGUUAGUUUAUUUAGUUGCAAAGACUUUUUUUGAGGGGGAGGGGGCAGCAUCUGCCUAGAGGAGAAUCUUGCGACUUGGAUAUUUAUGGUCUAUAACUAUAUUUAUACAUAGAUACAAUUAAAAUUUGAUACUGUAGCUGUAACCUAUUAAAUAAUUAAAAAAUUACCUAUUAAAUAACCUAUUAAAAAUUA